rnacentral:rRNA from 1 species
CUGGGCGUAAAGCGUGCGCAAGCGGAUUGUUAAGCAAGAUGUGAAAUCCCCGGGCUUAACCUGGGAAUGGCAUUUUGAACUGGCAGUCUAGAGUGCGUCAGAGGGGGGUGGAAUCCCACAUGUAGCAGUGAAAUGCGUAGAGAUGUGGAGGAACACCAAUGGCGAAGGCAGCCCCCUGGGAUGACACUGACGCUCAUGUACGAAAGCGUGGGUAGCAAACAGGAUUAGAUACCCUGGUAGUCCACGCCCUAAACGAUGUCAACUGGUUGUUGGGGGAGUGAAAUCCCUUAGUAACGAAGCUAACGCGUGAAGUUGACCGCCUGGGGAGUACGGUCGCAAGAUUAAAACUCAAAGGAAUUGACGGGGACCCGCACAAGCGGUGGAUGAUGUGGAUUAAUUCGAUGCAACGCGAAAAACCUUACCUACCCUUGACAUGUCCGGAAUCCUGCAGAGAUGCGGGAGUGCUCGAAAGAGAACCGGAACACAGGUGCUGCAUGGCUGUCGUCAGCUCGUGUCGUGAGAUGUUGGGUUAAGUCCCGCAACGAGCGCAACCCUUAUCAUUAGUUGCUACGCAAGGGCACUCUAAUGAGACUGCCGGUGACAAACCGGAGGAAGGUGGGGAUGACGUCAAGUCCUCAUGGCCCUUAUGGGUAGGGCUUCACACGUCAUACAAUGGUCGGUACAGAGGGUUGCCAAGCCGCGAGGUGGAGCCAAUCCCAGAAAGCCGAUCGUAGUCCGGAUUGUUCUCUGCAACUCGAGAGCAUGAAGUCGGAAUCGCUAGUAAUCGCGGAUCAGCAUGUCGCGGUGAAUACGUUCCCGGGUC